AUCUGAGUCGGCUUCAGAUGUAAAUACUAGUCUUUUUGGGGGUGUUAAAUUGAUUUUUUUGAGAGGUUGAGAGAGACUUGUCUAAUAGAAUCUGUAAUACCGUAUUGGAGUUGGGACAUCCUGAUGAAAAGCUCUUGACCUGUUUCAUAUUUACUUGAACAGUGGCUGAAAUCUGCAGUCCUCUAGGUUGCUACAAGUAGGCAAAGUGGAAACUGGGUAUGGUAACUGUUUCUCGCAUAAAUCUGAAGGUUGAAAGAUGCUGGUAAUGUGGUGACAUCAUGCUGUUGUGAUAUCAUUUGUUCUCCUUUUUAGAUCUGCUGUAUCUACACCCUUCUGUGCUGCCUGUGGUUUGGUUAGAUCCCAGAAAGUACAUUGGAGUCUAGAAAUUAUUUACUGUUUGGGUUUUUUUUAUUAUUAUCCCUUCUUUUCAAUGGGUGUAUUUUUUGAGUUUGAAAUCCAUUCAUCAAUACCAAGCCCAAUAUGGUAUUUGUAUAUUGGUGAGGAUUGAGUUACAUUUCUUGAAGAUUAGAAAAAAGUCUCUGUUCUGCCUUCAGAAUCGGAGUGCAAUUAAAUGAGUGGUGGAGUAAGGAGAACCUCAUAUAUGUGAGAACGAAAAUAAUGACAAUAAUUAUGUUGUUAUAGAUGUGAUCAUGAAAUUUGGAUAAACUACCACUUGCUAGUGGUAGUUUAAUCCCUGAAAAAGGAUUAGAAAUACAUAUAGCAUACAGAAAAAAGGCAUUUGUGCUUCUUAGCUGUGUUCAUAUGCCAAAGUCUAAUUUCAGAAAUUAUUUUAUUAUUUUUCUGCACUUUCAUGCAUCAAAAACAUUAGCUUGUGUAAAAUCUUUAUACUUUUGUCAGUCCCAAGUAAUUGUCAUUUUAUCUGUUAGUGUGCUGCUAUAGAUCCCAUUUUUCUUGCUUUCCUCUUUCCCAGUGCUGGUUUUCCAACCUAGAUCAUUACUUUGAGUGUGCUGGAACAGCAUUCCAUGCAUAUUUUUAAUUGUCAACAGGUUUUUUCUGAGGGUUAAAGUGACAAUUUCAAAUAACGUGCCAGGGCCCUUUAUUCUAAUAUGUCAUUGUUGCAAUUUUUAAUGUUUUUAUUAGUGUUUGGUUGCUUUUGCUGCAUUUAGUCUUGUAACAUUUCAUUUAAACUGUUAACCAGUACAACUGUUCAAACGCUUUCAAUUACAGCAAUAUAAUUGUAGGUUAUAUUCAAGAGAAAUGUAAUUCUCUGGUCAUGGACAGUAGAGACAAAGGAAAAUAACUUCCAUUAGAUUAAAGUAAUAAAAAAAGCAGAUUUAUGUAAAUAUGUAAUGCAUAUGUAAACAAUGGAACAGUAAAUUUGUCUGUGCCAUGGAACAGAAGCUUAGCUUUCCUUUAUCUCCAGCAUUGUCUUGAUGCCCAUCUCUUCAUCUGUUUCUCAGUUUCAGUGUUUUAACUUCAGAUUUCUCUAAUUUUGUUCACCCCCAAACAGUAGCAUGUCAAAGACCUCGGCAUGACUCCAGUUACAGAUGUAUCAUUUUGGAAGGAUUAGGGAAUGAUAUGCCAGAACAAGGUCCUAGAAUAACGUUGAAGAGGCUUCUGGGUCUGGACCACUAUUGGCAACCAGAAGAAUCAAAGUUUUGAUUCACUGUUGCAAAUCCCCAGGCGCCUUCCUUUAAUUGAGGUCUGCAGUGGCUGACUUCUUAAAAUUAACUAUUAUAUUAAUUUCUGAUGGAAAAGGCUUCUAGUCUGAUGCUCCCAAUCCAUCUCAGCCAGAACUAUUAUAUUUCUCUACCUUAUGAAAAUUGCAGUUGAGGAGAAUUCUGGUUUAUUUCAACAGGUCAGGU